rnacentral:rRNA from 1 species
CAUUUAUGGAGAGUUUGAUCCUGGCUCAGGACGAACGCUGGCGGCGUGCUUAACACAUGCA